rnacentral:snRNA from 1 species
AUCCUAUAUAAUUGUUUA